rnacentral:rRNA from 1 species
GGACGAACGCUGGCGGCGUGCUUAACACAUGCAAGUCGAGCGGUAAGGCCCUUUCGGGGGUACACGAGCGGCGAACGGGUGAGUAACACGUGGGUGACCUGCCCUCAGCUCUGGGAUAAGCCUGGGAAACCGGGGUCUAAUACUGGAUAUGACUCCAUGACGCAUGUUGUGGGGUGGAAAGCCUUGUGCGGCUGAGGAUGGGCCCGCGGCCUAUCAGCUUGUUGGUGGGGGAUGGCCUACCAAGGCGACGACGGGUAGCCGGCCUGAGAGGGCGACCGGCCACACUGGGACUGAGACAC